UACGUAGGCAGCAAGCGUUGUUCGGAGUUACUGGGCGUAAAGGGUGUGUAGGCGGUUGGAUAAGUGUGGUGUGAAAUCUCCCGGCUUAACUGGGAGGGUGCGCUACAAACUGUCUGACUAGAGUGUGGGAUGGGUAAGUGGAAUUCCUGGUGUAGCGGUGAAAUGCGUAGAUAUCGGAAGGAACACCAGUGGCGAAAGCGGCUUCCUGGUCCAGCACCGACGUCAGGCACGAAAGCGUGGGGAGCAAACAAG
rnacentral:rRNA from 1 species